AGAGUUUGAUUCUGGCUCAGAACGAACGCUGGCGGCGUGGAUAAGACAUGCAAGUCGAACGAGAGAAUUGCUAGCUUGCUAAUAAUUCUCUAGUGGCGCACGGGUGAGUAACACGUGAGUAACCUGCCCCCGAGAGCGGGAUAGCCCUGGGAAACUGGGAUUAAUACCGCAUAGAAUCGCAAGAUUAAAGCAGCAAUGCGCUUGGGGAUGGGCUCGCGGCCUAUUAGUUAGUUGGUGAGGUAACGGCUCACCAAGGCGAUGACGGGUAGCCGGUCUGAGAGGAUGUCCGGCCACACUGGAACUGAGACACGGUCCAGACACCUACGGGUGGCAGCAGUCGAGAAUCAUUCACAAUGGGGGAAACCCUGAUGGUGCGACGCCGCGUGGGGGAAUGAAGGUCUUCGGAUUGUAAACCCCUGUCAUGUGGGAGCAAAUUAAAAAGAUAGUACCACAAGAGGAAGAGACGGCUAACUCUGUGCCAGCAGCCGCGGUAAUACAGAGGUCUCAAGCGUUGUUCGGAAUCACUGGGCGUAAAGCGUGCGUAGGCUGUUUCGUAAGUCGUGUGUGAAAGGCGCGGGCUCAACCCGCGGACGGCACAUGAUACUGCGAGACUAGAGUAAUGGAGGGGGAACCGGAAUUCUCGGUGUAGCAGUGAAAUGCGUAGAUAUCGAGAGGAACACUCGUGGCGAAGGCGGGUUCCUGGACAUUAACUGACGCUGAGGCACGAAGGCCAGGGGAGCGAAAGGGAUUAGAUACCCCUGUAGUCCUGGCAGUAAACGGUGCACGCUUGGUGUGCGGGGAAUCGACCCCCUGCGUGCCGGAGCUAACGCGUUAAGCGUGCCGCCUGGGGAGUACGGUCGCAAGAUUAAAACUCAAAGGAAUUGACGGGGGCCCGCACAAGCAGCGGAGCAUGUGGUUUAAUUCGACGCAACGCGAAGAACCUUACCAGGUCUUGACAUCCACUUAAACUUACAGAGAUGUAAGGUGUGCUUGCACAAAGUGAGACAGGUGGUGCAUGGUUGUCGUCAGCUCGUGUCGUGAGAUGUUGGGUUAA
rnacentral:rRNA from 1 species